rnacentral:rRNA from 1 species
AUUGAACGCUGGCGGUAUGCUUAACACAUGCAAGUCGAACGGUAACGGACCGCUGUGAUCCCUUCGGGGUGAACUUGGUGCCGACGAGUGGCGGACGGGUGAGUAAUGCUUAGGAAUCUGCCCAGUAGUGGGGGACAACACGGGGAAACUCGUGCUAAUACCGCAUACGCCUUACGAGGGAAAGUGGGGGAUCUUCGGACCUCACGCUAUUGGAUGAGCCUAAGUCGGAUUAGCUUGUUGGUGAGGUAAAGGCUCACCAAGGCGACAAUCCGUAGCUGGUCUGAGAGGACGAUCAGCCACACUGGGACUGAGACACGGCCCAGACUCCUACGGGAGGCAGCAGUGGGGAAUAUUGGACAAUGGGGGCAACCCUGAUCCAGCAAUACCGCGUGUGUGAAGAAGGCCUGCGGGUUGUAAAGCACUUUCAGUAGAGAAGAAAAACCCAGGGGUUAAUACCCUCAGGGCUUGACGUAACCUACAGAAGAAGCACCGGCUAACUCCGUGCCAGCCGCCGCCGUAACAC